GUGGGGAAUCUUCCGCAAUGGACGAAAGUCUGACGGAGCAACGCCGCGUGAGUGAAGAAGGUUUUCGGAUCGUAAAGCUCUUUCGUUAGGGACGAACGUGCUCUUUGUGAAUAAUGAGGAGUAAUGACGGUACCUAAAUAAGAAGCCACGGCUAACUACGUGCCAGCAGCCGCGGUAAUACGUAGGUGGCAAGCGUUGUCCGGAAUUAUUGGGCGUAAAGCGCGCGCAGGCGGGAUAUCAAGUCUGUCUUAAAAGUGAGAGGCUCAACCUCGUGAGGGGACAGAAACUGGUAUUCUUGAGUGUCGGAGAGGAAAGUGGAAUUCCAAGUGUAGCGGUGAAAUGCGUAGAGAUUUGGAAGAACACCAGUGGCGAAGGCGACUUUCUGGACGAUGUCUGACGCUGAGGCGCGAAAGCUAGGGGAGCGAACGGGAUUAGAAACCCGGGUAGUCC
rnacentral:rRNA from 1 species